AGAUGAGCCUAAGUCUGAAUAGCUAGUUGGUGGGGUAAAGGCCUAGCAAGCGGACGAUCUGUAGCGGGUCUGAGAGGAUGAUUCGCCACACUGGAACUGAGACACCGUCCAGACUGCUACGGGAGGCAGCAGUGGGGAAUAUUGGACAAUGGCGGGAAGCCUGAUCCAGCCAUGCCGCGUGUGUGAAGAAGGCCUUUUGGUUGUAAAGCACUUUAAGCGAGGAGGAGGCUACCGAGACUAAUACUCUUGGAUAGUGGACGUUACUCGCAGAAUAAGCACCGGCUAACUCUGUGCCAGCAGCCGCGGUAAUACAGAGGGUGCGAGCGUUAAUCGGAUUUACUGGGCGUAAAGCGUGCGUAGGCGGCUUUUUAAGUCGGAUGUGAAAUCCCUGAGCUUAACUUAGGAAUUGCAUUCGAUACUGGGAAGCUAGAGUAUGGGAGAGGAUGGUAGAAUUCCAGGUGUAGCGGUGAAAUGCGUAGAGAUCUGGAGGAAUACCGAUGGCGAAGGCAGCCAUCUGGCCUAAUACUGACGCUGAGGUACGAAAGCAUGGGGAGCAAACAGGAUUAGAUACCCUGGUAGUCCAUGCCGUAAACGAUGUCUACUAGCCGUUGGGGCCUUUGAGGCUUUAGUGGCGCAGCUAACGCGAUAAGUAGACCGCCUGGGGAGUACGGUCGCAAGACUAAAACUCAAAUGAAUUGACGGGGGCCCGCACAAGCGGUGGAGCAUGUGGUUUAAUUCGAUGCAACGCGAAGAACCUUACCUGGUCUUGACAUAGUAAGAACUUUCCAGAGAUGGAUUGGUGCCUUCGGGAACUUACAUACAGGUGCUGCAUGGCUGUCGUCAGCUCGUGUCGUGAGAUGUUGGGUUAAGUCCCGCAACGAGCGCAACCCUUUUCCUUAUUUGCCAGCGGGUUAAGCCGGGAACUUUAAGGAUACUGCCAGUGACAAACUGGAGGAAGGCGGGGACGACGUCAAGUCAUCAUGGCCCUUACGACCAGGGCUACACACGUGCUACAAUGGUCGGUACAAAGGGUUGCUACCUAGCGAUAGGAUGCUAAUCUCAAAAAGCCGAUCGUAGUCCGGAUUGGAGUCUGCAACUCGACUCCAUGAAGUCGGAAUCGCUAGUAAUCGCGGAUCAGAAUGCCGCGGUGAAUACGUUCCCGGGCCUUGUACACACCGCCCGUCACACCAUGGGAAUUUGUUGCACCAGAAGUACGUACUCUAACCCCAACGAGGACGCUAC
rnacentral:rRNA from 1 species